AGCGAACGCUGGCGGCAGGCUUAACGCAUGCAAGUCGAACGGGCGUAGCAAUACGUCAGUGGCAGACGGGUGAGUAACGCGUGGGAACGUGCCUUUUGGUUCGGAACAACAAAGGGAACCUUUUGCUAAUACAGGAUAAGCCCUUACGGGGAAAGAUUUAUCGCCAAAAGAUCGGCCCGCGUCUGUUUAGCUAGUUGGUGAGGUAAUGGCUAACCAAGGCGACGAUCAGUAGCUGGUCUGAGAGGAUGAUCAGCCACACUGGGACUGAGACACGGCCCAGACUCCGACGGGAGGCAGCAGUGGGGAAUAUUGGACAAUGGGCGCAAGCCUGAUCCAGCCAUGCCGCGUGAGUGAUGAAGGCCCUAGGGUUGUAAAGCUCUUUUGUGCGGGAAGAUAAUGACGGUACCGCAAGAAUAAGCCCCGGCUAACUUCGUGCCAGCCGCCGCAGUAAGAC
rnacentral:rRNA from 1 species